GUUUUGCGUAAGGGAUUGCGGCGAUAUCCUUUAUUUUUUUCCUUUAAAAAAAUAAAGAUAAAGCCAAAAGCCCGACCCUGU
ensembl:sRNA